UCUGCCUGACAGUGGCCAAAAUGGGUGAGUGUGAGAGAGAUGGGUUUGGCAGUCACUGUGAAACCAGCAAUGAGGUUAACUCUGGUUUGGGGACUAUGUCUUCGGGAUCUGUGCUUUGUUUUGUUUUUUCCCCUCUAAGUAUGGGUGUUCUAUCCACAACAUUCACAGUCCUACAUGUAGACAUAUGACAGGUGUAUUUUCUGUUUUCAGAUUUAUAUCCACCUACAAAAUUACCCUGUGAAAGCCCCAUCACUCACAGAAACUAUUGCUGAGGAGGAGAGGAUGAUUUUAUUUAGCUAAUUUUUAACAAAUCUCCAAUGUUGCCCACAUCUCCUGAAGCUGGGAGGAGGGAUAAUCAAGUCAAGCCCCAUUGACUAGGAGAAUAGUGAACUGUGGAAAAUGAGUUCUCAGCACGCCACAGGGCCACAACUCCAUUUAAAGAACACGUUCAUUAUUCAGACACUCGGCCUUCUUCCGGGGCUGUUGGCCUGUCCCCAGGGCUGCCUCCAUUCCCAGGGGCCCUGCAGCCUUCUGAGCCAGCCUCAUACGCAUGUUGGUGCUGGCAGCUGGUGUGGAGCAGCUCCAGGCACCACUGCAGUGGAUCCCUGUAGCAGCGCUGAGAAGGACACGAGCACUUAACUGAUGUUUUCGUUUUACAGAUGAGGAAACUGAGGCUCUGAUGGACGCUGUUGCAUGCCAGGGUCACACAGCCAAUCAAGGAUAGCUGUACCCACAUGUUUUCACUCCAAGACCAUUGCCAUUUCUAAUGUGUGAAGCAUCUUCCCUCCACUGGUCCAGCUUUAGAAGAUGUGAUUCUGACCAGCUAGCUUAUGUUAAGAUGGAUAUUUAAAAACCAGCUGUAAACAAAGAUAAAAACAGCAACAACAAAAAAAGACAGACUUCCAGAAUAAUUAUUAAAUAAAAUAUAUAAAAGAUUGCAGUUUUGAGCUAUCUAAAUGUGAGACAAGCAUAAAGGCAGACAGAGCUGAAUUCAAACCUUAGCUUAGCCACUGCCUAGCUGUGUGACCUUACACAAUAUACUUAACUUCUCUGAGCUUCAGAUCUCUCAUUAAUUGUACAGGGAUUGUAAAAUCCGGCUCAUGUGCUUGCUGUAAGGGCUUAGCAAGAUAAUAGAGGUGAAAACUCUCCUUUCACUCUGCCCAUAUAGUAGACCCUCAAUAACAUAUAGUUAAUUUCUGUCUCCUCUUCCUCUGCCUCUCCCUCCUCACUUCUCAUUUUUCUUCACUGAUUCUUCCAGCAGUUCUGAAAAGGGGGGCAGGAUGAUUCAUAUGUUCAAUAAACAUCUAAGUGCCAAGCAUUAUUCUAGAUGCUGGGGAGAGAGGGCACUUUGGAGACUCAUAACCCCACAUGGUAACCAUCAGCAGGAGUGCCAGAGGGGCUCACACUUUUGGAGGGGUGCAUCCACUUUGCUUUCUUACUUUAUCCAUCCAGCUCCUGCAGGCAUUUGAGUUUAUGGCCCUGAUCUAAGGUAACGUUAAUCAAGAAUUUUCUAAGACUCUGUGGAAGCUGUUAGGUUACUCCCAGCAGGACCUGGUUUCAGGAGGGGCUCUAGUUGCAAAGCUCAAACCUAUCAAAGCUGGCAUCCAUCCUUUGCUGGGAUGCCUGGGAAAGACUGCAGCCCAAAAGACUAAUAAAUGAAGUGGUUGUCAUUAACUAUGUAUUAAUUCAUUCAUAAGUCACCCACCUCACAGUAUUAGAUGUAAUAGAUUCUAGGUACAUAUAGGGUGCUAGAGAUGUAUAUCAGUGAAGAAAUCUUUGUCCCUGGUCUUAAGGAGUUGACAAGUUAAGCAGGCAUACAAGCUUAUAAAGAAAUCACUACAACAGAGCAUGAAAUUUGUGAGUCUGGGUAUAGGGUACAGAUGAGGAACCGCGGGAAAUGAGGCUGAAGAAACAGACGGUGUUCAGAUCACACAAGGUUUUGAUGACCCUUCUAAGGAGCAGAGAUUUCUUCUGAAGCAAAGAGAAACCAAUGAGGAGUUUCGAUAAAUGACUUCCCCUUCUCCAAAUCCAUUUUCUUUCCAUAGUUAAUAAUUUAUUUUUUGAAAGUACUAGAAGGGGACUUAGAAAUCAUCUAGUCCAGAGGUAACAAACGGGAUUCAUCUGAUGAGCCAACUCUGAUCAGAAGGUGGGAGCUGUCUGUGUUGAGAAGGAUUCUGCAGCCAAGUCUAGGCUCAUUAAAACCACAAUUGAUUCAUGAUGUCUGCCACAUACAAAGAAAGGAAAAGGUGGCAUCCACCCUAAGAGUUGAAUUAUCAUCUUUUUAAAGUAAGGACAUUUCUUUGCACAAGUCACACAACUAGUUGAUGCCAGAGCCAGGCCUAGAACCGAGGACUCCUGGGUUGCAGCAGAGAACCUAUUCUCUGCACCAUCUUCGCUCAGUCCUCCUUCGUGAGCAGGAGCAGAGCAGGAAACCUGGUUCCCAUGACAACCAGCCUCUAUGUCUCAUAGGGUAUCAAGACCAUCCAGCCAGAGAGUGCUAAAGUAAUAGGGGGAGCGCUUCUGUCAUGUAACACUGUGUAACAAACCACCCAAAGUCUAAAUGUCUUACAAUAGUUUAUUAUUGUCUCUCAUGAUUCUGUGAGUUGACUGGACUCAGUGGGACAGUCUGCUGGUCUGGCUUGGGAUGCUCAUGCAGUUGCAAUCAAACGGCAGCUGGUGUUGGAGCUAUCUGGAGGCUCCACGGGUGGGACUGUGAAAAUGGCUUCUUCCCUCACACCUGGCACCUCCAUGCCCCUCUACGUAGUUUCUGUCUUCAUCAGGAGCCUCACCCGCCACGGCCUCUGCAGGGGUCUCUCUCCAGUGGAGUAGCUGGACUUCUUACACAGUAGAUGGCUUGCGAGAGUGUACAAGUGGAAUCUGCUAUGCCUUCUUAAAGCCUGGAAGCAGUAGAGUGUGAUUUCUGCCACAUCCUGUUGGUUAUGGUGAGAAAUAUCCAAGUUGAUAACAGCAAAAACUUGAUAAUGACUAGUGUUGGGAAGAGAUUAAACUACUUGUAAUUCCAAAUUGUUCAAAAUCAACUCUCCUGACCUGCCAGGAUAGUGAGACUUAGAAAAACAAAAACAAAAACAAAAGCAGAAAACCAAAGCGGCAAAAAGAAACAACUUCAGAACACAAAUUUAAGACACGAAUUUUGCUCAGUUCCUAGUUUUGACUCUGAGCAAUGGAGGUAUUUCUAACAAAAGAAAAUCUCCACGUCCGUCCUAUGUUUGGAAUAUUCACUGGUGUGUAAUUCCUAGAAGUGUGCUGAGAAUGAUUUCGAUAAAGAGAAAGGUGCUUGACUUCUGAGAUGCUGAGAAUGAUCUGUUUUUAAGGAACGUUUUUCAAACGUGAACAGGCCAAUGAGAGAAAUGGACUGCCCUCUGUUGGACAGAGAUAGCAAAAUCAGCCAGGGAUGGAGGAGGAAGCUCUGUGGCAGUGGCUUCAGCCUUCUUGAGAAGGUCCUCUUGGGAUCUUUUAAUUGUGAUGACACAGACCUCUCAUUUAAAUGUGGCCCAAGAAACACAGAAGUAAAAUUUUAGAGACAUCCACAUAGAUAAGAUUUGCAUUUCUACAAUGUAUCCAGCUAUGUGUUUUCAGUUUUAACAGAGAAAUGUCAAAAAAUAUACUAGUAAAGUGCAGGGUUUAGGGAGAUACAUAUGUUAAUAAGUAUUUGAAGUUGAAGAAUUGGGACUAGAGCUACUCUAUUCCUAAGUUUAUCAAACACAGAAAUGGCUCAUCUGACCUAAGAUGCUGUAUCCUGCAAUGAUAAUAUUACCUCAAAGGAGUUUUAGAGACUCAAACUGUCACUGUCUGUUUGAGGAACACAGUCACUAAUUAAGCUUAAAUGAUGCUUUCCCCCACAAACAUCCGUGAUUAUUAUUGUUUUCUGCUGGCCAGGUCACCUACGGAAUAUAAAGAAAAGCAAAUCCAGGCUUUGGCCCUCCCAGGGGAAUGAUCAUGUCAGCAAGAAUUCACAAGGACGUUGACUCCAGGGAAGGGAAGAGGCUAUUUUUGUUCAUUCACCUGCAGCUAGAGCUGCUCAGAGCAAGAAAGAUUCAGCUAUGUUCUACUUUUGCUUCCUUUCAAAACUAGAGAGCCAUUUUCCCAAACACCUGUUACCCUUGCUUUAAAAAUAUCUUGAGAAGAGUGGAACUAGAGAAAGGAAGGAGUGUGAGGGAAAGGAUUACAGAAGACAACAUGUCUUCUGUGUGAAUGGUCUUGACAUUUCAUACAACAAUUAAGAAAUUAGCAAAAAAAAAGGCACUCAUCACUUGGACUCAUUAACUCCACUUCUAGGAAUCUAUUCACAGAAAUACUGGUAGAAACACCCCAAUGUGGCUACAAGAAGGUCCACUGAAGCAUUGCUUGUAAUAAUAGCAAAUUAGAAACGACCAAAAUAUCCUGAAUAGAGAACUGCCAGAAUAAAGAUGUUACACAAUGGAACACCAUGCAGCCAUUUAAAACAAGGAGGUUCUCUGGGGGCUCACACGGACAGUGCACCACAAUAGGUUCAGUUAUUAAGUGACUAACACAUGUUGCAUAACAGAAGUGCUGUUUUCCAUUUCUGUAAAUAAAAUUGUAUUAUUAA